rnacentral:rRNA from 1 species
CCUACGGGGGGCAGCAGUGAGGAAUAUUGCUCAAUGGACGGAAGUCUGAUCCAGCCAUGCCGCGUGCAGGAAGACGGCUCUAUGAGUUGUAAACUGCUUUUGUACAAGGGUAAACCUGAAUACGUGUAUUCAGCUGAAAGUACUGUACGAAUAAGGAUCGGCUAACUCCGUUCCAGCAGCCGCGGUAAUCUGGGGCUCCAAGCGUUAUCCGGAUUUAUUGGGUUUAAAGGGUGCGUAGGCGGAUUGAUAAGUUAGAGGUGAAAUGUCCGAGCUUAACCCGGGAACUGCCUCUGAUACUGUUGGUCUAGAGAGUAGAUGCGGUAGGCGGAAUGUAUGGUGUAGCGGUGAAAUGCUUAGAGAUCAUACAGAACACCGAUUGCGAAGGCAGCUUACCAAUCUAUAUCUGACGUUGAGGCACGAAAGCGUGGGGAGCAAACAGGAUUAGAUACCCGUGUAGUC